UCCCUCUUAAAAAAGGCUCACCCGAAAACAAAUUGGCUUCCUACCGCACCGCCUUCAUGCUGAAAAUGCUGUGAUUUAUAUUUUAUUUGAUUGGCAUCCAUAAUAUAGUUUAGCUAGCUACCUAAAGCUCAGUCGAUACAGUGCUUGUUUUGCUUUGCAGAAAUUUGUGGCUUUUGAUAGCCACUCUACUGCAUAUACUGGCAGAGCUCCUUUCAUUGCCUAGUGUUGCCUAGUGGGAAAAAAUUCCAGAUUACUGUAGCUAACUUAAAUGGGAGCUUUAAACACAUACUCUUUAAGGUCUCUCUUGGAAGCAUUUGAGAGAAGGUAGAUUGGUAGUUAGGUAGUUAGGUAGCUAGCUAGCCUAUCCCUUGAAUGCGAAGGGGAGAACCGAAAGAAGCCAGCUAGCUAUAGCUAGCUAGCUAUAUAUACAUCACACCACCACUACCUAGGCCAUUUGCCAACAAUUUGAUGCUUUGGUCGUAGAAUAAGGAACUCGCAAAUUAAGUUAAUCUUCGAUCAUAAAUAUAAAGAUCCAUAUUAACCUGAAAAAUUACUUUCCAAGAAGCGUGUUGGAUCACUUGCAUCUACAGUCGCCAUUUUGUUUUUAGCCUAACAGGCUGAGACCGAUAGCCAGCGUUAUCAGCUAUCUCCAGAGAUACAGACAUACGGCUGUAUCCGAUAAACAACGCGUCACAGUGCACAACUGUUGCCGAUCUAUAUCGCAUACAGUUAACAGAAACGGGUGGUUCUUUUAUUCGUGUCAAUUUCCUUCCUGUUUCUCCUAUGUAAUAUUUUCCACAAUCUCCACACGUUACUUUAUAUGCAACACCUGAUUCAUUGUCUUGGUUUCCGUUUUUUAAUAUUUUGUUGCUUUUUACAACAUUUUUUAGCGCUUUGUUUUUCGUAUGUGUUAAUUUUACAUUAAAUUUCUUGCAUACUCUGGCGAUUUGUUUGAGAAAAUAGAAAUUCUCUAUAGGGAAAACAAUUUUAUUAAAAGAAAAUUUAAAGAGGCAUUAGCGAUUAAACAACACAAAUCGGAUUUAUUGAACAAAAAAGAUGAAAUAAGACGAUUAUCUGAAAUUUGGGAAAACAUAUUAUAAUUUUAACGACUUUUAUUGUUAAUAAACGAUUUUUAUACAUUUUAUUUUUAUCAAGAGAAUUUUUAACAUUUUGUACAUGCAUGUUGAAAGACGUUUUUAGUUGUGAUCUGAAGAUGCUCUGACAAAGAUCAGGGAGAAAAUUUAUCAAAUUUAAUUUGUUAUUUAUUGCCUUAAACCCAAGAAAUAUUUACUAAUUAAGGAAAUAUAACACUAAGAUUUAUUUAUUUACGCCAUCAUCGGUAUCUACAAACUUGAGAAGCCGCCACUUACACUAGACAGCAGAGGCUGUAGCCAGGAUACCCAGCUCAACCUUCCACAACAUUUCAUAUUAUAAUUUAUGGCUGGCCUAGUUAUUUAAGCUUUCUUUGAUAGAGAAAGAAAAAAUGAUUAUAAGGGUGGUUUGAAUGGACAACGCUGUGUCUCCUGGCCAAAUUUAUGGCUAGAAAGACUGAAAACAUUUGGAGAUGGACAGUCAGUUAGGCGCGUACAAGAGUUAUCUCACCUUCUUUUUUGCCUCCAGCGGUAAGUUAAGGGGCCACCAAUACAUACUGUAUAUUUUACUGUGGUCACUCACAAACAGAGUUGUUUGCCAUGGUAUAGUCAACUGCACAAAACUAAAUUGCUUAAAAAGGAUAGCUAUCAUAACACAGGAACUCACAGUAGAGUACUAAACACAAAGUAUAAUGCUAAGAGUAUAAAAUAUCAAUUGUUAAUAACAGUCUAUGAAGUUUUCUAUAACGGAAGAUCAUUUGAGACUUGAGUAAUCAGCAUGAGAUAGUUUGUUGUGAAAGGUUGCUGAACAUUGUUCCAUGAUUUAAAAAAAUGAACGUCGAGCGAAUGUAGAUUGAAGGUGGUUGUAUAUCUAGGUAGCUUGUGAGUGAAGUGCAGAAAAAUUAUAUUUCGAGCUAAAAAUGGUUCCUUCCUGACCAAUAUAGUAAAUUUCAAAAGGAAUAAUUGAAACAAGAACGUGUUGAAAUUUCAAUAAACACAUUGAAAAUGUGUAUGUACUUUUCAUGAAACAAUCACACAAUGGUGCCAUGGCGAAAAUUUAUCUCAUGAAAUUUGAUUUCAUUUUUCGAAAUUCUUCUUCAAUUCAAUUCAAUCUUGCAAAGUUUCUAUGAUCAAAGUAGGUAAGAUAUAUUCUAUCCUCUGGAUAUAUCUUCUCUAGAGUGGAUCUCAACGAAGAAUUAUCCUACUAGCAAAAUGGGAAAGUUCCUCCGUGAAAAAUUUAAAUAUAACAACAGCUAGCGAAAAGGACAACGACAGCAGAUAAUGAAAGGAGAAUUGAAUUACAUAUUUCUGUGAAGACUCUGAUAAAAAUUUUAAAUGUUGAAAAUUAUAUUGUAUGGUAGUAAAGCUUGCGAGCCAAUACUGUUUAUGUAUAAAAUUGAAGUAGAGGGUUUAAAUUUUACAAUUUUUAAAGUUUUUAAACAUUACAAGGAAUGCUUGAUGCUGAAAUAUUUUGCUCAAUGUGUUUUUAUUUCUAAAUGUAUACAGUAUUAGGAUAUGGUUAUUAGAAUUAGGUAACAUACUAUAUAUUAUUAUCUUAAAAUAUACGUCAAAUCAUUUGCAGAUUUUCUUGGCUUGAUAUUCAAAAACAUUUUGUUUGUUGUUUUGAAUUUUGGAUAGUGAAACAAACUCCAAUACGUUUUUUGUUGAUACAUGUUGUGUCAUCAUGCUUUUUUUUCUACUUUUUCAGAUUUGAAGGAACACAUCAAUUAGCAUUGGAUUUUUUGGCUACAAUGCCGCCAUCACAAAACAGUUCUCAACUAUGGGUAGACUUCAUGAAGUGUCAUCCCAUGGAUGGAAAAUACCGGAAUUGAUGAUUUGAAGGAACACAUCAAUUAGCAUUGGAUUUAUUGGCUACAAUGCCGCCAUCACAAAACAGUUCUCAACUAUGGGUAGACUUCAUGAAGUGUCAUCCCAUGGAUGGAAAAUACCGAAAUUGAUGGUAAGUAGAAUUGUUGUUAAAUUUCUUGACACUUCGUAUAUCACGAUUUUACACUUAUUGUGAAAACAUUCGGAUAGAGGUACUGUAGGGCUUAAAAAAUAGUGGCAACAACGAAAAUGUUGUUACACAAAAUUUUCUCCCAAUAUAUACUACAUCGUAUUUUUUAAAGGAUUGUCGAUGAAAUUUAAAAGAGUUGUUCUGAUUGAAUUAGAGCAUACUCAAAAAGAUAUGUCUAGCUACUUGCUAGAAAUUUCUUUAUAUUAUGGAAUAAUUGAAAAAUGGUCAAUAGCUCCGACUUUUAUGCAAAUGAGUGCUUACCAAUGGCGAAAAGGUUAGUCCUGAAGAGAAGCAUAGACUUCGCGGAAAGGGAACUGUUGGGAGGGUGUCAGGAAUUUAUUGCCAGGGUUUUAUUUCCAUCGAUCAAAACAUAUCUACCAUAGACAAUGAAGAUUAUUUGAGCGACAAAAAAGUGACAGUGCAAGCGAUUUUUCCUUGCUCGGCUCAGACAGUAUUCCGGCAUAAUGUAGCUUUUAUCGUCCGUAUUUAUUAUUUGAACCACCAUAACUUUUUUCCGGGAUUACAUAUUUUUAAGAUUUCGUAUCGUAUCCGAAAGUUUGUUUAAACGGGAUUUUUCCUCUUUCGUUUUCUCCUUCUCCUUCCCACUCACUCCACGCAACAUGUUCUAUUGUUUGUAAUCAAUUUAUGUUAUUAACUUGCGUCAAGUCAUUAAAGUAUGUUUCUGAACUACAAAGGGAAUAAAGAAAUUGAGUUUGUUCCAAAGUCUUUUAGCCCGCAUUCAUUUCAUUCUACUUCAAUCAAGAAAAGAAAAACUAUU